UACGUAGGGUGCGAGCGUUAAUCGGAAUUACUGGGCGUAAAGCGUGCGCAGGCGGCGCGUUAAGACAGGUGUGAAAGCCCCGAGCUUAACUUGGGAAUUGCGCUUGUGACUGGCGUGCUGGAGUGUGGCAGAGGGAGGUGGAAUUCCACGUGUAGCAGUGAAAUGCGUAGAGAUGUGGAGGAACACCGAUGGCGAAGGCAGCUUCCUGGGCCAGCACUGACGCUCAUGCACGAGAGCGUGGGGAGCAAACAGG
rnacentral:rRNA from 1 species